rnacentral:lncRNA from 1 species
GACGGUGAGCGGGAGACUUUGGAACCCCGCCUGUGAUCUCACUCCCUUCUACUUGUUGUGGUGUCGUGGACUUUGACUCCAUCCAAGGCCUGUCGCUUUUAUUUUGACCAUGUAUCAGAUUCGGUGUCACAUACUCCAUCACCAAGUACAAAAUCAGUAGGUUUUGAUCAGGUUCAAGCCCUCCACAAUCUCUGAUGGCAUAUUCUUUUGGGAUUUUAUAUUUUAGUAUUGUUUUUUCCCCUUAAAUUGGGUGGAUUAAUUAUGCUAAUAAGGAGAAAUCAAAC